rnacentral:rRNA from 1 species
UACGUAGGGGGGCAAGCGUUGUCCGGAAUUAUUGGGCGUAAAGAGCGUGUAGGCGGUCCGGUAAGUCAGCUGUGAAAGUCAAGGGCUCAACCCUUGAAUGCCGGUUGAUACUGUCGGGCUAGAGUCCGGAAGAGGCGAGUGGAAUUCCCGGUGUAGCGGUGAAAUGCGCAGAUAUCGGGAGGAACACCAAAGGUGAAAACAGGCUGCUGGGGUUGUGCCGACGCUGAGACACGAAAGCCAGGGGAGCAAACGGG